GCAGUCGAACGAUGAAGACCGGUGCUUGCACUGGUUGGAUUAGUGGCGAACGGGUGAGUAAUACGUGAGUAACCUGCCUUUGACUCUGGGAUAAGCCUUGGAAACGAGGUCUAAUACCGGAUACGACUAACCUUCGCAUGAAGUGUUAGUGGAAAGGGUUUGUACUGGUUUUAGAUGGGCUCACGGCCUAUCAGCUUGUUGGUGAGGUAAUGGCUCACCAAGGCGACGACGGGUAGCCGGCCUGAGAGGGUGACCGGCCACACUGGGACUGAGACACGGCCCAGACUCCUACGGGAGGCAGCAGUGGGGAAUAUUGCACAAUGGGCGCAAGCCUGAUGCAGCGACGCCGCGUGAGGGAUGACGGCCUUCGGGUUGUAAACCUCUUUCAGCAGGGGAGAAGCGAAAGUGACGGUACCUGCAGAAGAAGCGCCGGCUAACUACGUGCCAGCAGCCGCGGUAAUACGUAGGGCGCGAGCGUUGUCCGGAAUUAUUGGGCGUAAAGAGCUUGUAGGCGGUUUGUCGCGUCUGCUGUGAAAGCCCGGGGCUUAACUCCGGGUUUGCAGUGGGUACGGGCUAACUAGAGUGCAGUAGGGGAGACUGGAAUUCCUGGUGUAGC
rnacentral:rRNA from 1 species